rnacentral:rRNA from 1 species
UUGAUCCUGCCGGACCCUACUGCUAUCGGGGUGGGACUAAGACAUGCGUGUCGAACGACCCCUAGCCAUGAAGGGGACGUGGCAUACGGCUCAGUAACACGCGGCUAACCUACCCUUGAGACAGGGACAACCCCGGGAAACUGGGGCUAAUCCCCGAUAGAUGAGAACACCUGGAACGGGUUCUCGUCCAAAAGGCGCCUAGAUCACGCUUCUAGACGCUGCUCAAGGAUGGGGCCGCGGCCGAUCAGGCUGUUGGUGAGGCAAUGGCUCACCAAACCUUUAACCGGUACGGGCCGUGGGAGCGGGAGCCCGGAGAUGGGAACUGAGACAAGGUCCCAGGCCCUACGGGGCGCAGCAGUCGCGAAAACUUGUCAAUGCACGAAAGUGUGAACGGGCUACCCCGAGUGCCGUCCGCUGAGGAUGGCUUUUCUCUGCUGUAAGGAAGCGGAGGAAUAAGGCGAGGGCAAGUCUGGUGUCAGCCGCCGCGGUAAUACCAGCUCGCCGAGUGGUAGGGAUGAUUAUUGGGCUUAAAGCGUCCGUAGCCGGCCUUUCAAGUCUCUCGUUAAAUCCAGCGAUUCAAUCGUUGGACUGCGGGAGAUACUGUUAGGCUAGGGGGCGGGAGAAGCCGACGGCAUUUUCGGGGUAGGGGUAAAAUCCUAUAAUCCCGGGAAGACCACCAGUGGCGUAGGCGGUCGGCUAGCACGCGCUCGACGGUGAGGGACGAAAGCUGGGGGAGCGAACCGGAUUAGAUACCCGGGUAGUCCCAGCUGUAAACGAUGCUGGCUAGGUGUUGAAGCGGCUACGAGCCGCUUCAGUGCCGCAGGGAAGCCAUUAAGCCAGCCGCCUGGGGAGUACGGCCGCAAGGCUGAAACUUAAAGGAAUUGGCGGGGGAGCACCACAAGGGGUGAAGCUUGCGGUUUAAUUGGAUUCAACGCCGG